UACGUAGGGACCGAGCGUUGUCCGGAAUCAUUGGGCGUAAAGAGCGUGUAGGCGGCCACUUAAGUCCUGCGUGAAAUCUUGCGGCUCAACCGCAAGCGGUCGUGGGAAACUGGGUGGCUAGAGUGCGGGAGAGGAGAGUGGAAUUCCUGGUGUAGCGGUGGAAUGCGCAGAUAUCGGGAAGAACACCCGUGGCGAAGGCGGCUCUCUGGAACGCAACUGACGCUGAGACGCGAAAGCGUGGGGAGCAAACAGG
rnacentral:rRNA from 1 species